UAAGGCUUGCAUGAAAUCAAGAUUACCCUAACAGCUGCUCUGAGACAAUGCAAAAUGAUAAGUUAAGUAUGCUACAUUCAUUCAUUUUCUGUUUAUGAAAUAGAAAAAUGAAGAACAAACAUUUAAAAAAGAUGAUUCUAACGAUAUUCUAAAUCCUUUUCAGGAUUCAAAAUCUGGCUGUAAGGGAUAGGUCCUUCCAUGGCAGGGGACGGGUUACGCCACUAAACCCAACUCAGCACCACUCAACACACCAACAAACCCAAGAUUUUCUUCACAUUUUAUUGGUUUCAUCUGACUGCUGAAGCCAUGGUCUGCAAAGAGCUUACAAAGCCUGUACAGAGUCCCACUGUUGAAAGGUAUCAAUCAAGAGAGGAUACUGUGAAGGCCAUCAUCAACAGGUGGAGAAAAUGGAGCACCACAGUGACAAGUAAUGAAAUGGCCUCUUUGGAAAGAGAAAUCUUCACCAAAUAUUUAUUCUGGAGAGUCACAUCUGUUAAUUUUGGAGGUGUUGGGGUUGAAUACUUUCUGGCGGCACUGUAUUAAUCAGCAUAUUAAUGAGAGUUCACGUGAGGUAAGGUGA